UGAGAUGACUCCAUUACGAUUGGAUUUUCAUAGAGGACAGAGACAUUGGAGUUAUGUGGUGGUCAUGGUAGUGGACGGACGUGUCGAGUCCGUCCACGUCCACCUGGAUGCCACCUGCUAUCACGGGGUUCCGUUUUGUGUUGUUUCAGUAUAUUGUGUUUAUGGUAAUGAGUAAUUUGAGUUGUGUGCUUCUUCGUCUUCUUGUGCUAAUGAGAUGUUACUCCAACCAAAGAAUCAGACACAAAGGCACAAUCAAUUGACCAUUGAACAAAACUAACAGGGUUGUUAUUGAUAAGUAAAUCAGACAACGGCAACCCCAGGUAUAGAGCUGCGCCGUAUUGGGAACAAAGGCCAAUAACGGAAAAAGGAAGUGAGAAAUGAGACGUUGGACUGAAAAUUACAAUACACCACUUUCAUAUUAUAUUGGAGGCAUUCUCGAAUAGUGUUUGGUAUCCAUUAGUGGUUGAGGUAAAAAUAACAACUCUCUUAAGUAGUUGUGUGUCUGCAUAACAUCGAUUGAUGUUAUAUUUUAUCCUGUAUGCAUGAAAAUCUGAUUUGACAGGAGAAAAUUGUUGAUGUAAAACGUCAAAAUUUGAAAGGAGGAGAUGAAUAUUGAAAUUCUUUCAUGAGAUUUGUUUGAAUUAGGGACAAUUGUAAAUUGAAUAGAUGAAGGAUCAUCAAUGUCGAUGGUAGAUGAAGAUAUCACAAAAGGUCUCUACAUACAGGGAGAAACAGAACUUUUUUGUUCAAAAUGUACGGGUGAACAGAAUCGUAUUGAAAAGAACUCGCGAAAGGUACCUACUUCUCUCAAUCAUGGGUAAUUUUACAGGCUCUAGGCAAUUCAAUAAUCGUUCUGUAUCAACAGUAAAAUCUCUCAGCCUCCUGCAAAAACUAUAGAGAUGAACGGUAGAAAGUUCGUUUAUUUCAAAAUAUAACAGUAUAAUCAAAAAUUAGAAAUAAAAUUUCCUAUGUUUUUA